rnacentral:rRNA from 1 species
UACGAAGGGGGCUAGCGUUGUUCGGAAUUACUGGGCGUAAAGGGCGCGCAGGCGGCCGCUCAAGUCAGAUGUGAAAGCCCCGGGCUCAACCUGGGAACUGCAUUUGAUACUGAGUGGCUAGAGUUCGGGAGAGGAGAGUGGAAUUCCCAGUGUAGAGGUGAAAUUCGUAGAUAUUGGGAAGAACACCGGUGGCCAAGGCGGCUCUCUGGACCGAUACUGACGCUGCGGCGCGAAAGCGUGGGGAGCAAACAGG